UGCAGAUGUGUACCGGAGGCAUUAGAUAUAUGGAAAUCAUAUGUGAGUUACUUUUACGGAAGUUCUUUUUUCGAUAUUACGACAAUAGUUUUUAAUGCGAUUACAGUGAUGUCAGAUGACAGAUUAUUCACAAUUAGAUCAUUGGCAUUAGCUAUGGCCAAAAUAAUAAUGGCUUACUUUAUAGCAUAUCAUUCACAGAACAUUUCAUAUUUGAAUGAAGAUUUUCUGCAAAUAAUGGCGAAAAUUCGAUGGUACAACAGGAGAUCAAAAUUUUGCAAAACCUAUCACCAGAUGCUUACUUUUCAUCAAAUAUCAAAAGUAAUGAAACUUGCUGGGGUCCUCGAAUUAAAUUUAAACUGCUUUGCUCGUCUGUUAAGAAAUGUAUACACGGUUGUGAAUUUAAUGUAUUUAACACUUUUGAAAUAAUAUCUGCUAAAA